rnacentral:rRNA from 1 species
GACGAACGCUGGCGGCGUGCUUAACACAUGCAAGUCGAACGGAAAGGCCCUGCUUUUGUGGGGUGCUCGAGUGGCGAACGGGUGAGUAACACGUGAGUAAGCUGCCAUUGACUGUGGGAUAACUUAAGGAAACUGGGGCUAAUACGGGAUAGGAGCUCCUGCUGCAUGGGGGGGGUUGGAAAGUUUCGGCGGUUGGGGAUGGACUCGCGGCUCAUCAGCUUGGUGGUGGGGUAGUGGCUUAACAAGGCUUUGACGGGUAGCCGGCCUGAGAGGGUGACCGGCCCCAUUGCGUCUGGGCUACGACACAGACUCCUCCGCUAGGCAGCAGUGCGGUAUCUUGCACAGCGCGCUGAGCCCUGAUCCAGCAACGCCGCGUGCGGUAUGUCGUCCUUCUCGUUGUAUUCCGCUUUCCCCUCUGACGAGGCGUUAGUGACGGUACUGGGUAAAGAAGCCCCGGCUAACUACGUG